ACUCCUACGGGAGGCAGCAGUGGGAAUAUUGCACGAAAUCGGGGGAACCCAUGAUGCAGCCAUGCCGCGUGUGUGAAGAAGGCCUUCGGGUUGUAAAGCACUUUCAGUAGGGAGGAAGGUAGUGUAGUUAACACCUGCAUUAUUUGACGUUACCUACAGAAGAAGCACCGGCUAACUCCGUGCCAGCAGCCGCGGUAAUACGGAGGGUGCGAGCGUUAAUCGGAAUUACUGGGCGUAAAGCGCAUGCAGGCGGCCUGUUAAGUCAGAUGUGAAAGCCCGGGGCUUAACCUCGGAAUUGCAUUUGAAACUGGCAGGCUAGAGUCUUGUAGAGGGGGGUAGAAUUUCAGGGUGUAGCGGUGAAAUGCGUAGAGAUCUGAAGGAAUACCAGUGGCGAAGGCCGGCCCCUGGACAAAGACUGACGCUCAGAUGCGAAAGCGUGGGGAGCAAACAGGAUUAGAUACCCUGGUAGGCGCUGCU
rnacentral:rRNA from 1 species